rnacentral:rRNA from 1 species
ACGGGUGAGUAACACGUGAGCAACCUGCCCCUGACUCUGGGAUAGCCUCGGGAAACCGGGAUUAAUACCGGAUAUGACAUUGCCUCGCAUGGGGUGGUGUGGAAAGUUUUUCGGUCAGGGAUGGGCUCGCGGCCUAUCAGCUUGUUGGUGGGGUGAUGGCCUACCAAGGCGACGACGGGUAGCCGGCCUGAGAGGGUGACCGGCCACACUGGGACUGAGACACGGCCCAGACUCCUACGGGAGGCAGCAGUGGGGAAUAUUGCGCAAUGGGCGAAAGCCUGACGCAGCGACGCCGCGUGAGGGAUGAAGGCCUUCGGGUUGUAAACCUCUUUCAGCAGGGAAGAAGCGAAAGUGACGGUACCUGCAGAAGAAGCACCGGCUAACUACGUGCCAGCAGCCGCGGUAAUACGUAGGGUGCAAGCGUUGUCCGGAAUUAUUGGGCGUAAAGAGCUCGUAGGCGGUUUGUCGCGUCUGCUGUGAAAACGCGGGGCUCAACUCCGCGCCUGCAGUGGGUACGGGCAGACUAGAGUGCAGUAGGGGAGACUGGAAUUCCUGGUGUAGCGGUGGAAUGCGCAGAUAUCAGGAGGAACACCGGUGGCGAAGGCGGGUCUCUGGGCUG